rnacentral:rRNA from 1 species
CCUGCCGUUGCCGGCGACCGGCGCACGGGUGAGUAACACGUAUGCAACCUGCCCGUGGCAGGGGGAUAAGCGGGGGAAACCCCGUCUAAUACCGCGUAACGCGGCCUUGGGGCAUCCCAAGGCCGCCAAAGGGAGCAAUCCCGGCCACGGAUGGGCAUGCGGCGCAUUAGCUAGUCGGCGGGGUAACGGCCCACCGAGGCGACGAUGCGUAGGGGUUCUGAGAGGAAGGCCCCCCACACUGGUACUGAGACACGGUCCAAACUCCUACGGGAGGCAGCAG